rnacentral:rRNA from 1 species
GACGAACGCUGGCGGCGUGCUUAACACAUGCAAGUCGAACGGAAAGGCCCUGCUUUUGUGGGGUGCUCGAGUGGCGAACGGGUGAGUAACACGUGAGUAACCUGCCCUUGACUUUGGGAUAACUUCAGGAAACUGGGGCUACUACCGGAUCGGAGCUCCUGCUGCAUGGUGGGGGUUGGAAAGUUUCGGCGGUUGUGGAUGGACUCGCGGCUUAUCAGCUUGUUGGUGGGGUAGUGGCUUACCAAGGCUUUGACGGGUAGCCGGCCUGAGAGGGUGACCGGCCACAUGGGGACUGAGAUACGGCCCAGACUCCUACGGGAGGCAGCAGUGGGGAAUAUUGCACAAUGGGCGGAAGCCUGAUGCAGCAACGCCGCGUGCGGGAUGACGGCCUUCGGGUUGUAAACCGCUUUCGCCUGUGACGAAGCGUGAGUGACGGUAAUGGGUAAAGAAGCACCGGCUAACUACGUG